UGGGGGGUGGUGUAACCGGUAGCACAACGGACUUUGAAUCCGUUAGUCGGGGUUCGAGUCCCUGCCCCCCAG
rnacentral:tRNA from 2 species